UACGUAGGGCGCGAGCGUUGUUCGGAAUUACUGGGCGUAAAGGGCGCGUAGGCGGUGCGAUCAGUCAGGCGUGAAAGGCCCGGGCUCAACCCGGGGACUGCGCUUGAUACUGUUGCGCUGUGAGUCCGGGAGAGGAUGGCGGAAUUCCCAGUGUAGAGGUGAAAUUCGUAGAUAUUGGGAAGAACACCGGUGGCGAAGGCGGCCAUCUGGACCGGCACUGACGCUGAGGCGCGAAAGCGUGGGGAGCAAACAGG
rnacentral:rRNA from 1 species